rnacentral:lncRNA from 1 species
GCUUUACAGAGGAGGGUAGAUAUGAUACACCCGAACUCUGGAGGGAUGGAUGCAAAGGUUCUUGACUCAAGCACUGGGAUUUGGAUUCAGAGGGACCAAGGCAGAGUGGCUCUGAAGAUAUAUGAGCCUGCUCUAGACUACACCCUGACCCAGAAGACUGAUGUCAGGAACAUAACAGAUGGUGUAACCAGAAGGACCUUCAGGGUAGACAUCACAGCACUUCUGUGCCCUGGCUUCCAUCACUGCACUGGGUGGCUGUGAGGGAGCCACUCACUGGGAAGACUGGAGACAUGUGAACUCCAUGUCCUGCUUUUGUAACCUUCUUAGAAACUUGUAACCACUUUGAGGUACAUGAAACUUUAGCGUGAGGAGGAACCCAUGGCAGAAGUACUUGGGGUACAUGAAAGCCACCUUCCUGGGGAGCUUGAAGGUGAUUCAGGCAUCAAAUGGUUCCUGACAACUCAGAUCUUUGGCAGGGAUAUGAGUGAGGCAGGACAAGUGGUAAAAGGCAAUUCAUAGAAUCUUUACCCGGAAAGCCUAAGGCAUCAGUGAACGAAAGUGAUUUCUAACCUUGUGAAAUACAGAUUCCCUGUUCUAACCUUAUGGUUCAACAGUUCCCUGUUUGAGCCACACUGGCUGUCAGGAGGCUUUGUGGAAUUGGCCCACAUGCAAUCAGGAACAGCAGCAAGAUUGGUCCUUCCAAGGAACCUCAGGAGACUCUGGCUGACCCAGGUUCUACCACAGGGUCUCUAAACGACCACAGGACAGAAAAGCCUCCAGAACUGAGAUGCCUUCUCCUGCCUGCACUUCGGGAUAAAAGCUGUACAUUGCUUCCUUACAGGGGAGAUGACUCCAUCCAUGCCCAGGGGAACAUACCACCCACACUGAUAACAAAAACAGCCCUGAUGAAGUCAAACCCAUCAGAAUUUGAUAACAUCCAGUCACAAAUCUGCCCUGCUAGCCUUCUCAAACCACAGGUCCUGCAAACCAGACCCCAAGAAGGCCUACUGGGUAUGUUUUCAGCAACAUUAUCCACAGGCCGGUUACCUUCCUUAGUGUAUUGCUACUGUUCUAUUGCUGUGAAGAGACUAUGACCAAAGCAACCUAUAGAAGAAAGCAUUUAAUUGAGGGCUUGCUUACAGUUUCAGAGGGUUAGUCCAGGAUCACCAUGGUGGAGAGCAGGCAGACAUGGUACUGGAGCAGUUAGCUGAGAGCUUUACAUCAUGCAGCAGGGAGAGAUAAAGAGAAAGAGAGAGACUGG